rnacentral:tRNA from 1 species
CGAGAAGGUCUACGGUUCGAAUCCGUAUAGCCCUAGUGUAAACGAGUUGCUCUACCGAACUGAGCUAUAGCCCU